rnacentral:rRNA from 1 species
UACGGAGGGUGCAAGCGUUAUCCGGAUUCACUGGGUUUAAAGGGUGCGCAGGCGGAUUUGUAAGUUAGUGGUGAAAGGCUUAAGCUUAACUUGGGAACUGCCAUUGAUACUAUAAGUCUUGAAUGUUGUUGAGGUUUGCGGAAUGGGUCAUGUAGCGGUGAAAUGCAUAGAUAUGACCCGGAACACCUAUUGCGAAGGCAGCAGGCUAAACAAAUAUUGACGCUGAGGCUCGAAAGCGUGGGGAUCAAACAGG